UGAUUACAAAAAAUGAAGUGCAUGCAGCAUUGGGUAGUCAAAACAGCAUUUGGUUGUCAAAACUAAACAAAACAUUGCAAUCAUUAUACAAUGUGAGUUGCUUAAAGAGUAAGAGUUUUUAAGAAGUCACUUGUGGUGUAGGAAUGACAGAUUGGAUGUUAAUGUCAAUGAGACAGCAACCAUUCAAUGAAAGAGGUCAACAUUGUAUUCAACCAUUGAAAACUAUCUUUAAAUUAGAACUAUCACUGAGUUUGUACUUAUUAAUGAGCAACACAAGUGCCACAUGUGGAGCACCUGAGAUAACCCCAAACUUUUGAUGUGUUUCCUGUUGCUCAGUCUUU
rnacentral:lncRNA from 1 species